rnacentral:miRNA from 1 species
GCUGAGUGGGGAGGAGAGAGGGACAGAGAGCCUGCUUGCUUUAAAGGAGCCAACACGAGCGUAAGCGGCUCCUCUCCUCUCCUGCUUUGCUCCUUUAAAGCAAGCAGGCUUUCUGUCCCUCUCUCCUCCCCACUCAGC